rnacentral:piRNA from 1 species
UUAUCUAUCCAAUGAGAGCACUUGG